rnacentral:rRNA from 1 species
UACGAAGGGUGCAAGCGUUACUCGGAAUCACUGGGCGUAAAGCGUGCGUAGGCGGUUCGUUAAGUCUGCUGUGAAAGCCCUGGGCUCAACCUGGGAACUGCAGUGGAUACUGGCGGACUAGAGUGUGAUAGAGGAUGGUGGAAUUCCCGGUGUAGCGGUGAAAAUGCGUAGAGAUCGGGAGGAACACCAGUGGCGAAGGCGGCCAUCUGGAUCAACACUGACGCUGAGGCACGAAAGCGUGGGGAGCAAACAGG